rnacentral:lncRNA from 10 species
UCCAAGUGACCCUGCACUCAUCACUUGCUGCCUUGGACUUAGUUUCCUCAUUCGUAGAAUGGAGACACCACACUUUCUGAAGUGCUUAUGAGACUUGCAGGAGGAUGGGUUCUUUGAAGAGUUUUAAAGAGAAUUCACAAUUACUGAAUAUUACAUAAUUUGAAGAUGAGUAAACUGCUUUCAUCACUGCUCUGGCAAUAAAAUCUGGAAAUCUGGAGAACUCUAGCUUCUAAAAACUAUCUUAUGAUCCAAUUCAGAAUGUGUAGUUCUGCACACAUCGUACAUUUCUUUUUCCUAAGCCAAAUGAUCAUCAAUUCAUCUAAAACCAUUGUCAGGAGGCCCUAUGCUAUGCAAGACUAAUUGUGAGUGUGACUGUAUGCAAAAACAAACAAACAAACAAGGGAAAAAAAGCUUGUUAAAAAGGGAAUUCUUUACUCAAGAGGCAGGAAAAAAAUACCUCCUGACUAGGGAAAGCACAUAUUGAUAGUUCCAGCAGCAACAAACCUGGAGAUCUCUGUCAUUUCUGUUCAAGUGCAUGAAAAGCAAGGCAGCAAAAGCUGUUGGUGCUGUGAGCAUAGAAGGCUAAGGACAUACUUCCCAGCAACUUGCUCGGACUGGACGGUGACUGGAGCUGAUUCCUGAGAUGGGAGUGUGAGCUUGGCAGGCUUUGACAUGGAGCCAGGCCAAAGUGGGAGGCCAAAUUUACAGUGUCAAAUAAACCAUGACUUAGGCGAGAUUUUGUUCAAAAGUAUCAUUGGAAGGGGUUGGAUGGUGGUGGGGUGUGGGGAGACUAUUGUAAUAAAUAGAACACUCUACACAUGAGAUCUGCAGGCAUCUCAAGAGUUAGGCAAAAAGUGGUUUUGUUUUAUAGGAGGAAUAAACAAGGAAGUGAUGUGAGGAAGUGGAUGAAGGGGUCCCAAAAGUGGGUAGUGG